UUUAAUUAAUUUAUGUAUUGAUUUUGUUGAAAGAAAAAGGGUGUUUAAUUGAUAAAUAUAUCGAAAAGGUGAUGUUGACCAGGUAGGGGCUAAAAACAUGAGGCAUUCUAUUUGGUUACUUAAUGAAGUAAAUCUCAAUUGUCAUUUUUGUGUGUUUUGAUAGGUUAGGUACAUGUACCCCAUUAACAAUAAGAUAUAUGUCUCACUAUCAACUACUUUUCUUUUUCUUCUCAUACAUUUUCUUAGAUGCAAGUAAACUUCCACAACUUCUUCUACAAUGCAUCAUAUUACAAAAGUAACUAAUCUACCUCAUUCAUCACUUUCCACUUCCUUCUUAACUUCUUUUUUCUCUUGUCUUCUCCUUCACAAUCAUUCAACAUGACACAAGUCACCAAUAAUGUUUCAUUCCCACUUCACAACUGUCGCUGACUUUAGCCACCUCCCCAUAUAUAAUGUGUUUUGACCCCUACCUUGCAAGAAUACAUAGCCACAUUC
rnacentral:lncRNA from 1 species